rnacentral:rRNA from 2 species
GGACGGGUGAGUAACACGUGGGUAACCUGCCCAUUAGAGGGGGAUAACAUUCGGAAACGGAUGCUAAUACCGCAUAGUUUCAGGAAUCGCAUGAUUCUUGAAGGAAAGGUGGCUUCGGCUACCACUAAUGGAUGGACCCGCGGCGUAUUAGCUAGUUGGUGAGGUAAUGGCUCACCAAGGCAAUGAUACGUAGCCGACCUGAGAGGGUGAUCGGCCACACUGGGACUGAGACACGGCCCAGACUCCUACUGGGAGGCAGCAGUAGGGAAUCUUCCGCAAUGGACGAAAGUCUGACGGAGCAACGCCGCGUGAGUGAAGAAGGUUUUCGGAUCGUAAAACUCUGUUGUUAAAGAAGAACAAGGAUGAGAGUAACUGCUCAUCCCCUGACGGUAUUUAACCAGAAAGCCACGGCUAACUACGUGCCAGCAGCCGCGGUAAUACGUAGGUGGCAAAGCGUUGUCCGGAUUUAUUGGGCGUAAAGCGAGCGCAGGC